rnacentral:pre_miRNA from 1 species
AGCAUGGGAAGGUUUUCUAUGCAGGAGAGAUGACGCCCAUCCGUACGCAAAGCAAGAUCAAUUAUCCUCUUAAUCACCAGCUGUGUAAGGAGAGAGAGGUUAAUUGAGUUGGUGCAUGGGCGGGCGCCAUUUCCCCUGCAUACAAAAUCUUUUAUGCU